rnacentral:rRNA from 1 species
UAGAUCUCCCACCCUGUGUAUUUUAUACCUUUUGUUGCUUUGGCGGGCCGCCUCGGCCACCGGCUCCGGCUGGUGCGUGCCCGCCAGAGGACCCCAAACUCUGAAUGUUAGUGUCGUCUGAGUACUAUAUAAUAGUUAAAACUUUCAACAACGGAUCUCUUGGUUCUGGCAUCGAUGAAGAACGCAGCGAAAUGCGAUAAGUAAUGUGAAUUGCAGAAUUCAGUGAAUCAUCGAAUCUUUGAACGCACAUUGCGCCCUCUGGUAUUCCGGAGGGCAUGCCUGUUCGAGCGUCAUUACAACCCUCAAGCUCUGCUUGGCCUUGGGCGUCACCGGUAACGGUGGGCCUCAAACCCAGUGGCGGUGCCGUCUGGCUCUAAGCGUAGUAAUUCUUCUCGCUAUAGAUGCCCGGUGGAUGCUUGCCAGUAACCCCCAACUUCUUAAGGUUGACCUCGGAUCAGGUAGGGAUACCCGCUGAACUUAAGCAUAUCAAUAA